rnacentral:rRNA from 1 species
UGGCCUUGACAUACUAGAAACUUUCCAGAGAUGGAUUGGUGCCUUCGGGAAUCUAGAU